GCAGCUCCUGUCACCUGUCCAGAGCAGGUGUAGACCUCAACGCAAGGCUCCCCAAAGAGCCCGCCAGAAUCCGGACAAUCAGAUAGUUCAAACCAGCAAGGAGAUGCGGACAUCAAACCACUGCCCAACGGGCACUUAAGUUUCCAGGACUGUUUUGUGACUUCCGGGGUCUGGAAUGUGACAGAGCUGGUGAGAGUAUCACAGACUCCUGUUGCAACAGCAUCAGGGCCCAACUUCUCGCUGGCGGACCUGGAGAGUCCCAGCUACUACAACAUCAACCAGGUGACCCUGGGGCGGCGGUCCAUCACCUCCCCUCCUU
rnacentral:sRNA from 1 species